CUUCCAACAAUUGCAGGAUUCCUAGGACCACAGCAAGAUUUCUCUGACCACACAGAUCCAUCUCUGCUGAUCUCCUGCAGCAGCUCAAAUAAAUCAGCCAUUAACCCAGGUUUGAAGUCUGACUCAAAGAUGAAAUAGCUGUAUUGCCAUGGAUCCUUGCUGAGUUACAGUGGCCAGUUGCAUUGUGUGUUUUGGAUGAAGACCUUGAGUGAGCUGAGAAUUUGGUAAACCAAUGUUAAAGUGAAGCAAAUCAACAAAAAUAAGCUAUAAUAAUAAAAACCCCAAUAAAGUUCUUUCAAGAAUUGUGAA